rnacentral:rRNA from 1 species
GCUAUUUAGGUUAGAGUUUGAUCAUGGCUCAGAUUGAACGCUGGCGGCAUGCUUUACACAUGCAAGUCGAGCGGCAGCGCGGGACUCGGGCAACCGAGCCCUGGCGGCGAGCGGCGAACGGGUGAGUAAUGCAUCGGAACGUGUCCCGUAAUGGGGGAUAACGCCGCGAAAGCGGCGCUAAUACCGCAUACGCUCUGAGGAGGAAAGUGGGGGACUUCGCAAGGAGCCUCACGUUAGGGGAGCGGCCGAUGUCCGAUUAGCUAGUUGGUGGGGUAAUGGCUUACCAAGGCUUCGAUCGGUAGCUGGUCUGAGAGGAUGAUCAGCCACACUGGGACUGAGACACGGCCCAGACUCCUACGGGAGGCAGCAGUGGGGAAUUUUGGACAAUGGGGCAACCCUGAUCCAGCCAUGCCGCGUGCGGGAAGAAGGCCUUCGGGUUGUAAACCGCUUUUAGCCGGGAAGAAAAGGCCAUCCCUAACAGGGGUGGUUUUUGACGGUACCGGCGGAAUAAGCACCGGCUAACUACGUGCCAGCAGCCGCGGUAAUCGCCC